GACGAACGCUGGCGGCGUGCUUAACACAUGCAAGUCGAACGGUGAAGCGCCUUCCUUUUUGGUGGGUGUGGAUGAGUGGCGAACGGGUGAGUAACACGUGAGUAACCUGCCCCCUUCUUCUGGAUAACCGCAUGAAAGUGUGGCUAAUACGGGAUAUUCUGGGUCUGUCGCAUGAUGGGUCUGGGAAAGAUAUUGUUUCGGUGGGGGAUGGGCUCGCGGCCUAUCAGCUUGUUGGUGGGGUGAUGGCCUACCAAGGCGGUGACGGGUAGCCGGCCUGAGAGGGUGGACGGGCACACUGGGACUGAGGCACGGCCCAGACUCCUACGGGAGGCAGCAGGGGGGAAUAUUGCACAAUGGGCGCAAGCCUGAUGCAGCGACGCCGCGUGAGGGAUGGAGGCCUGCGGGUUGUGAACCUCUUUCGCCAGUGAAGCAGGCCUGCCUCGUUUGUGGGUGGGUUGACGGUAGCUGGAGAAGAAGCGCCGGCUAACUACGUG
rnacentral:rRNA from 1 species